rnacentral:RNase_P_RNA from 2 species
GCAGAUGACCGGGUGGCUGCUGCUGGCCUGGAGCUGGCAGAGGAAAGUCCGGGCUUCACAGGAUCAGGAUGCUGGAUAACGUCCAGCGGGGGCGACCCCAGGGAAAGUGCCACAGAAAACAAACCGCCAGACCUUGUGUCUGGUAAGGGUGAAAAGGGGCGGUAAGAGCGCACCGCAGGGCUGGUGACAGGCCUGGCAGGGUAAACCCCAUCCGAAGCAAGACCAUGUAGGGGCAUAGCUGUUUGAUCAGCACUGGUGAUCCUGCCAGAGAUGUCCGGGUAGGUUGCAAGAGGUGUCUGGUAACAGGCAUCCCAGAUGAAUAGCCAUCAUCUGUGUUGCCCUGCUGAGGGCACCACAGAGACAGAACCCGGCUUACAGGUUAUCUGUUCCG